rnacentral:rRNA from 1 species
AGUGAACGCUGGCGGUAGGCCUAACACAUGCAAAUCGAACGGCAGCACAGUAAGAGCUUGCUCUUACGGGUGGCGAGUGGCGGACGGGUGAGGAAUACAUCGGAAUCUACUUUUUCGUGGGGGAUAACGUAGGGAAACUUACGCUAAUACCGCAUACGACCUACGGGUGAAAGCAGGGGAUCUUCGGACCUUGCGCGUAUGAAUGAGCCGAUGUCGGAUUAGCUAGUUGGCGGGGUAAAGGCCCACCAAGGCGACGAUCCGUAGCUGGUCUGAGAGGAUGAUCAGCCACACUGGAACUGAGACACGGUCCAGACUCCUACGGGAGGCAGCAGAGGGGAAUAUUGGACAAUGGGCGCAAGUCUGAUCCAGCCAUACCGCGUGGGUGAAGAAGGCCUUCGGGUUGUAAAACCCUUUUGUUGGGAAAGAAAAAAAGCAGGUUAAUACCCAGCUGUUCUGACGGUACCCAAAGAAUAAGCACCGGCUAACUUCGUG